rnacentral:rRNA from 1 species
UUAUGACCUGGGCUACAAACGUGAUACAAUGGCUGUGACAAAGAGUAGCUGAAACGCGAGUUUUUAGCCAAUCUCAAAAAAGCAGUCUCAGUUCGGAUUGAAGCCUGUAACUCGACUUCAUGAAGUUGGAAUCGCUAGUAAUCGCGAAUCAGCAUGUCGCGGUGAAUACGUUCUCGGGGUUUGUACACACCGCCCGUCAGACCACGAAAGUUGGCAAUACCCAAAGCCGGUGGCCUAACUUGAGCAAUCAAGAAGGAGCCGUCUAAGGUAGGGUUGAUGAUUGGGGUUAAGUCGUAACAAGGUAUCCCUACCGGAAGGUGGGGAUGGAUCACCUCCUUU